CAUCAACUCUGAGAUACAGGUACAUCCAUCUGACGAGUCCCAAAUAUAACGAAACGCGCAUCCUGGAUUC
rnacentral:tRNA from 1 species